rnacentral:lncRNA from 1 species
AGAAAAAUGAGUUGGGUUAUAGUGAUUUUUGGGAGAAUGUGGAGUUAAAAAGUAUGGAAAAAGCUUUGAAUUUAUAUGCAAAAUAUUUUAUUGUAAGAAUGAGUGAAAAUGAAUUAGAGAGAAAAAGAGUUUUUUUUUUAUUUUUCAUUUUUUUUAUUUAAUGGUUGUCGAACAGGGACUAAGUAAGAAACUCUGAAACAUCUUCAUAUCAAACCCGUGGCUCCUCUUUGAUACAAAUAAUAAUCGUGAUGAGAGAGUUAUCGUCCCACAGGAAAUAAGGAUCAAUUUUAUUAUAUUUGAUAUAUUUAAUUCGUAUUUGUAACUAAAAGACGAUCGAGGGAAUAACUAAAUAAUUUUUAUAACUAAAACUUGUGAAAAUAAUUAAAUUUGGUUUAAAAAUUCAAAUGUGUAAAC